GUUUGGCACUGUCAACUGUGGGACCUUAUAUAGACAGGUGUGUGCCUUUCCAAAUCAUGUCCAAUCAAUUGAAUUUACCACAAGUGGACCAAUCAAGUUGUAGAAACAGCUCAAGGAUUAUCAAUGGAAACAGGAUGCACCUGAGCUCAAUUUCGAGUCUCAUAGCAAAGGGUCUGAAUACUUAUGUAAAUAAGGACUACUGUCCAAGUAAAUUUUGGGCGGUGGGGUUUAAUUAACCCAUGGUUUUCUGGCAGAAGAGGGCCUGGACGGCAUCAAAACCACACUGAUCUGUCCUUAUAUUGUCGACACUGGCAUGUUCGCUGGCUGCGAGAUGAGGAAGGAGCUGCGGGGUUUGAUUCCCCCCUGGACACAGUGCAGACAACCAUGGCUGCCAUCCUUGUGGACAAGCACAUGAUCUUCAUACUAUGCUUUAUGUACAUACAGUACCCUGAAUUACACAAGCACUGCUUCCUUGGGAGGCCAACGUUGCGAAGUACCGCUUCAUGGGAGGUGACAAGUGCAUGCUGCCCUUCAUCAAGACAAUGGAGCAGAAGGCUGCCUCUACCAACAGCCAUGCUAAAUCCUCAUAGGACCAAUCCUUCCUGCCCAAAUGGGUUUUGUCACCAAAUAGCAACACUACCUGCACACCAAAGGGUCAGUUGAAACAAUCUUACCUUGACAGG
rnacentral:lncRNA from 1 species